rnacentral:tRNA from 1 species
GCUGGCGUAGCUCAAUGGUAGAGCAGCUGAUUUGUAAUCAGCAGGUUGCUGGUUCAAGUCCAGUCGCCAGCUCCA